rnacentral:rRNA from 1 species
UACGAAGGGGGGCUAGCGUUGCUCGGAUUCAUUGGGCGUAAAGGGUGCGUAGGCGGCGCGGUAAGUCGGGUGUGAAAUCUUGGAGCUUAACUCCGAAACUGCAUUCGAUACUGCCGUGCUUGAGGACUGGAGAGGAGACUGGAAUUUACGGUGUAGCGGUGAAAUGCGUAGAUAUCGUAAGGAAGACCAGUGGCGAAGGCGGGUCUCUGGACAGUUCCUGACGCUGAGGCACGAAGGCCAGGGGAGCAAACGGG